CGCAACUUCACAAUCUGAAGUCGUUUCCAAUGUAGUGACAAGUGAUUGUUAUGUAGCUCUCUGUAGUCAGUGCCGUCCAAUAAUCCGUCGUCAGAGCCACAUUAGCCGCGGCUAACUGUGUUUUUAGCUCAGCCUUCUUGUUUUUGUAGCGUGCUUCCAAGUGGGUAGUAAUGGUCGCUCGAGAAGGGAUAUUAUAUCCUGGCUCCAUGUAGUGUAAUAACUCCCGAAAUCCCUCACCGUCAGUGGUGCUAAUUGGCAUCAUAUCUUUUUCGAUCAUGCCGCAAAUCCUCUGAGUAAUGCCCUCCGCUUUCCUGUGG